rnacentral:rRNA from 1 species
UACGUAGGGGGCUAGCGUUGUCCGGAAUCAUUGGGCGUAAAGCGCGUGUAGGCGGCCCGGUAAGUCCGCUGUGAAAGUCGGGGGCUCAACCCUCGGAUGCCGGUGGAUACUGUCGGGCUCGAGUACGGAAGAGGCGAGUGGAAUUCAUGGUGUAGCAGUGAAAUGCGUAGAUAUCAUGAGGAAGACCAGUGGCGAAGGCGGAUCUCUGGACAGUUCCUGACACUGAGGCACGAAGGCCAGGGGAGCAAACGGG